GAUGAACGCUGGCGGCGUGCCUAAUACAUGCAAGUCGAGCGAACGGACGAGAAGCUUGCUUCUCUGAUGUUAGCGGCGGACGGGUGAGUAACACGUGGAUAACCUACCUAUAAGACUGGGAUAACUUCGGGAAACCGUAGCUAAUACCGGAUAAUAUUUUGAACCGCCUGGUUCAAAAGUGAAAGACGGUCUUGCUGUCACUUAUAGAUGGAUCCGCGCUGCAUUAGCUAGUUGGUAAGGUAACGGCUUACCAAGGCAACGAUGCAUAGCCGACCUGAGAGGGUGAUCGGCCACACUGGAACUGAGACACGGUCCAGACGCCUACGGGAGGCAGCAGUAGGGAAUCUUCCGCAAUGGGCGAAAGCCUGACGGAGCAACGCCGCGUGAGUGAUGAAGGUCUUCGGAUCGUAAAACUCUGUUAUUAGGGAAGAACAUAUGUGUAAGUAACUGUGCACAUCUUGACGGUACCUAAUCAGAAAGCCACGGCUAACUACGU
rnacentral:rRNA from 1 species